rnacentral:rRNA from 1 species
UAAUACGUAGGCAGCAAGCGUUGUUCGGAGUUACUGGGCGUAAAGGGUGUGUAGGCGGCCCCCUAAGUUUGGUGUGAAAUCUCCCGGCUUAACCGGGAGGGUGCGCCGAAGACUGGAGGGCUAGAGUGCGGGAUGGGAGAGUGGAAUUCCUGGUGUAGCGGUGAAAUGCGUAGAUAUCAGGAGGAACACCUGUGGUGUAGACGGCUCUCUGGACCGCAACUGACGCUGAGACACGAAAGCGUGGGUAGCAAACAGGAUUAGAUACCCUGGUAGUCCACGCCCUAAACGAUGCAUAUUUGGUGUAGGUCAUUCAGUUGAUCUGUGCCGGAGCUAACGCGUUAAAUAUGCCGCCUGGGGAGUACAGUCGCAAGGCUG